CUUCCUCCCAGGCUUAGUGCAGGACUCCAUUUCUUUUCUUCUUCCUGGCACCAUUCAAAGGCCUGGGAAUGAAACUGUACAGAAGAACCACUUUCCCUGCGGAAAAGCAAAGUGUGCUGGGUGACGGAGGCCACAGACUAUAGCCCCAUUCAUUCCUGGACGGCUGUGUUUUCCUACUUGGAGGCGAG
rnacentral:lncRNA from 1 species